AUGCUUCUCUCCGCCCGCCGCCUCCUCACGCUGGGACCUCGAGGGCGGCGCGGCGGCCGCUGCGACCCCCGCGGCGGAGCCGGAGAAGGCGGCGGCGGCCCAGCCGAGCCCGCCGGGGGCCCGCAGCCGCCCGCAUCGCCAGCCGCCGCCGCGCCCGCCGCGGCUCCUCGCGCCCCGCCCUCCCCGCCCCCGCACGCGGCGGCGGCGGCAGCGGCAGCGGCAGCGGCGGCGCGGGUCUUAGGGCCGCUCCCCGCCGGGCGCGCGCUCGGGGCGUUCCUCGCCGGGCCCGGCCUGCCAGUCGCUCCGCGGCCGCCGCCACUCUCAAACCCCCCGGCUACGUCGGGGCCCCUCCCGGCGGCGCAGCCGCCACGCGUCACUUCCGGGGCGGGGCGGGGCGGGGCCGCGAGUCGGGGCCUCCGGGGGCGCGCGUGGGCGCGGCGGUACCUGCGGUUCUGCGCUUGGCCGCGGCCCCGGCGCCCAGGCUGCCGUCCGCGGGGCGGGGGCCCGGGACCGCCUCCGUCGGCGCUGAGCCGUCGCCCGAGGGCUUCUGCGUCCUGGGCCAGCAGUCGCGGCUUUUCCGUUGGCUCCUCCGAGCGCCCGCUCCCAGGAGCACCGAACACCCCCCCCCCCCCCGUGAAUACUGUUAAACGGUCCCCGCAGCGCCGUGGCCCGGGGGCCGACGGGCGCAGUCAGACCUGGAAUCCGGCCGCGGCUUUGCGCCUCGCCGUCCCGGAGACCUCAGCUUUGUUGACUCCCCAAAAGCUUCAUCCUCUGUCAAACGGAGAGAAGCCGGGGGCCCAGCGUUGCGGUGGCAAAGCGGGCCGGGCGCCCGGGUCACCCAGCGGGGUUCCCAGCACGCGCGGUCUCUCUAAAUGGGGUUCCCAAGCAGGCGAGGCGCACGGGGCCCCGAAGACCGUCGGCGGAGUUGAGCCGCGGAGGGAUGCGCGGCCCGGGGCGGGAGCGCCCAGCGACGCCUCCGAGAACCAGGCGCCGCGUCGCCUUCAGCCCGAGACCAAAGGGCCGGGGUGCGAAUCCCCCGCUCUCGGGCCAUUUGCUCCCUGCAAGCCCCGCAGUGAGUGGCUGCUCCGCUCUGCACCUCGGUGCCUCGUGUAG
rnacentral:lncRNA from 1 species